GGCUGUGUGGCCCAGUGGUUAAGGCAUCUGCUUUACAUGUAAUCGCAGUAUCGCAGAGGAUCGCAGGUUCGAGCCCUGCCACGGUCA